rnacentral:rRNA from 1 species
UAAUACGGAGGAUCCAAGCGUUAUCCGGAUUUAUUGGGUUUAAAGGGUGCGUAGGCGGCCUGUUAAGUCAGGGGUGAAAGACGGUAGCUCAACUAUCGCAGUGCCCUUGAUACUGAUGGGCUUGAAUGGACUAGAGGUAGGCGGAAUGAGACAAGUAGCGGUGAAAUGCAUAGAUAUGUCUCAGAACACCGAUUGCGAAGGCAGCUUACUAUGGUCUUAUUGACGCUGAGGCACGAAAGCGUGGGGAUCAAACAGGAUUAGAUACCCUGGUAGUCCACGCCCUAAACGAUGAACACUCGCUGUUGGCGAUACACAGUCAGCGGCUAAGCGAAAGCGUUAAGUGUUCCACCUGGGGAGUACGCUCGCAAGAGUG